GUAGGGAAUAUUGCUCAAUGGGCGAAAGCCUGAAGCAGCAACGCCGCGUGGAGGAUGACACUUUUCGGAGCGUAAACUCCUUUUGCUGGGGAAGAAAUUUGACGGUACCCAACGAAUAAGCACCGGCUAACUCCGUGCCAGCAGCCGCGGUAAUACGGAGGGUGCAAGCGUUACUCGGAAUCACUGGGCGUAAAGGACGCGUAGGCGGAUUAUCAAGUCUUUUGUGAAAUCUAAUGGCUUAACCAUUAAACUGCUUGAGAAACUGAUAAUCUAGAGUGAGGGAGAGGCAGAUGGAAUUGGUGGUGUAGGGGUAAAAUCCGUAGAGAUCACCAAGAAUACCCAUUGCGAAGGCGAUCUGCUAGAACUCAACUGACGCUAAUGCAUGAAAGCGUGGGGAGCAAACAGGAUUAGAUACCCCGGGUAGUCC
rnacentral:rRNA from 1 species